ensembl:lncRNA
UGGGGGAGGAGUCAGAAGUCUCAUAGUGCUACAUCCUAUGAAUAAGGUGGAUUAUGAGGCCACCAGGACUGCUGUUUUUAUGAGCCUGCCUUUCUCUUGAAUGACUGACAAUAGGCAGCAACAUUUACCAUAUUUUUAAUCCUGCCUCAGAUAGACUUUCACAAAAGGGGACUUCCAGAUCUGCUUAAAAGCUAUAACAUUCUUGGAGACCCCAGUGAGACGACUCCGCCACCGUGAGAUGGCCUCCCUCCAUGUCUCCCCGCGCAGGAGGCAGGGUGUAGGGGAGGUGCCCCCUGAGAUGAUCCAGGGCCCUGCAUCCCAGAUGCUGACCUGAGGGACAUGGAAGGACCAGCGAUCAAGACAACAUUUCUGAGUUCCCAGGAACCCUCCACUUGGAGGUCAACUUCUUGGAUGUCCAGGACACAAGAUAGAUUCACCAGCCAUCUCACCAUUCCUUGGACCAAGACU